rnacentral:rRNA from 1 species
AACGUAGGAGGCAAGCGUUAUCCGGAAUUACUGGGCGUAAAGCGCGUGUAGGUGGUUGCAUAAGUCACUGUUGAAAGCUCCCGGCUAAACUGGGAGAGGUGCGGUGAGACUGUGUGGCUAGAGUAUGGGAGAGGGAUGCAGAAUUCCGGGUGUAGUGGUGAAAUGCGUAGAGAUCCGGAGGAAUACCAGAGGCGAAGGCGGCAUCCUGGCCUAUAACUGACACUGAGACGCGAAAGCAUGGGGAGCGAACGGG